UACGCAGGGUCCGAGCGUUGUCCGGAAUUACUGGGCGUAAAGAGCUCGUAGGUGGUUUGUCGCGUUGUUCGUGAAAACUCACAGCUCAACUGUGGGCGUGCGGGCGAUACGGGCAGACUUGAGUACUGCAGGGGAGACUGGAAUUCCUGGUGUAGCGGUGGAAUGCGCAGAUAUCAGGAGGAACACCGGUGGCGAAGGCGGGUCUCUGGGCCGAUACUGACGCUGAGGAGCGAAAGCGUGGGGAUCAAACAGG
rnacentral:rRNA from 1 species